rnacentral:rRNA from 1 species
UAGAGUUUGAUCCUGGCUCAGAAUCAACGCUGGCGGCGUGCCUAACACAUGCAAGUCGUACGAGAAAGUGGAGCAAUCCAUGAGUAAAGUGGCGACCGGGUGAGUAACACGUGACUACCUACCUUCUAGUGGGGGAUAACUCCGGGAAACCGGAGCUAAUACCGCAUAACAUCGCAAGAUCAAAGCAGCAAUGCGCUGGAAGAGGGGGUCGCGGCUGAUUAGCUAGUUGGUAGGGUAAUGGCCUACCAAGGCAAAGAUCGGUAUCCGGCCUGAGAGGGCGCACGGACACACUGGAACUGAAACACGGUCCAGACUCCUACGGGAGGCAGCAGUGGGGAAUUUUGCGCAAUGGGGGAAACCCUGACGCAGCAACGCCGCGUGGAGGAUGAAGUCCCUUGGGACGUAAACUCCUUUCGACCAAGACGAUAAU